GAUGAACGCUGGCGGCGUGCUUAACACAUGCAAGUCGAACGAUGAAGCCCAGCUUGCUGGGUGGAUUAGUGGCGAACGGGUGAGUAACACGUGAGUAACCUGCCCUUAACUCUGGGAUAAGCCUGGGAAACUGGGUCUAAUACCGGAUAGGAGCGUCCACCGCAUGGUGGGUGUUGGAAAGAUUUAUCGGUUUUGGAUGGACUCGCGGCCUAUCAGCUUGUUGGUGAGGUAAUGGCUCACCAAGGCGACGACGGGUAGCCGGCCUGAGAGGGUGACCGGCCACACUGGGACUGAGACACGGCCCAGACUCCUACGGGAGGCAGCAGUGGGGAAUAUUGCACAAUGGGCGCAAGCCUGAUGCAGCGACGCCGCGUGAGGGAUGACGGCCUUCGGGUUGUAAAGCUCUUUCAGUAGGGAAGAAGCGAAAGUGACGGUACCUGCAGAAGAAGCACCGGCUAACUACGUG
rnacentral:rRNA from 1 species